rnacentral:tRNA from 1 species
UGGCUCAGUCAGUAGAGUAUGUGGCUCUUAAUCUCAGGGUUGUGAGUUUGAGUCUCAC